rnacentral:rRNA from 1 species
GACGAACGCUGGCGGCGUGCUUAACACAUGCAAGUCGAACGGAAAGGCCCUGCUUGCAGGGUACUCGAGUGGCGAACGGGUGAGUAACACGUGGGUGAUCUGCCCUGCACUUCGGGAUAAGCCUGGGAAACUGGGUCUAAUACCGGAUAGGAGCCAUUUUUAGUGUGAUGGUUGGAAAGUUUUUUCGGUGUAGGAUGAGCUCGCGGCCUAUCAGCUUGUUGGUGGGGUAAUGGCCUACCAAGGCGGCGACGGGUAGCCGGCCUGAGAGGGUGGACGGCCACAUUGGGACUGAGAUACGGCCCAGACCCCUACGGGAGGCAGCAGUGGGGAAUAUUGCACAAUGGGCGCAAGCCUGAUGCAGCGACGCCGCGUGGGGGAUGACGGCCUUCGGGUUGUAAACCCCUUUCGCUAGGGACGAAGCUUUUUGUGACGGUACCUAGAUAAGAAGCACCGGCUAACUACGUG